rnacentral:rRNA from 1 species
UACGAAGGGGGCUAGCGUUGUUCGGAAUUACUGGGCGUAAAGCGCACGUAGGCGGGUCGUUAAGUCAGGGGUGAAAUCCCGGAGCUCAACUCCGGAACUGCCUUUGAUACUGGCGAUCUAGAGAUCGAGAGAGGUGAGUGGAAUUCCGAGUGUAGAGGUGAAAUUCGUAGAUAUUCGGAAGAACACCAGUGGCGAAGGCGGCUCACUGGCUCGAUACUGACGCUGAGGUGCGAAAGCGUGAGGAGCAAACAGG